GAUGAACGCUGGCGGCGUGCCUAAUACAUGCAAGUCGAGCGAACGGACGAGAAGCUUGCUUUUCUGAUGUUAGCGGCGGACGGGUGAGUAACACGUGGAUAACCUACCUAUAAGACUGGGAUAACUUCGGGAAACUGGAGCUAAUACCGGAUAAUAUUUUGAACCGCAUGGUUCAAAAGUGAAAGACGGUCUUGCUGUCACUUAUAGAUGGAUCCGCGCUGCAUUAGCUAGUUGGUAAGGUAACGGCUUACCAAGGCAACGAUGCAUAGCCGACCUGAGAGGGUGAUCGGCCACACUGGAACUGAGACACGGUCCAGACUCCUACGGGAGGCAGCAGUAGGGAAUCUUCCGCAAUGGGCGAAAGCCUGACGGAGCAACGCCGCGUGAGUGAUGAAGGUCUUCGGAUCGUAAAACUCUGUUAUUAGGGAAGAACAUAUGUGUAAGUAACUGUGCACAUCUUGACGGUACCUAAUCAGAAAGCCACGGCUAACUACGUGCCAGCAGCCGCGGUAAUACGUAGGUGGCAAGCGUUAUCCGGAAUUAUUGGGCGUAAAGCGCGCGUAGGCGGUUUUUUAAGUCUGAUGUGAAAGCCCACGGCUCAACCGUGGAGGGUCAUUGGAAACUGGAAAACUUGAGUGCAGAAGAGGAAAGUGGAAUUCCAUGUGUAGCGGUGAAAUGCGCAGAGAUGUGGAGGAACACCAGUGGCGAAGGCGACUUUCUGGUCUGUAACUGACGCUGAUGUGCGAAAGCGUGGGGAUCAAACAGGAUUAGAUACCCUGGUAGUCCACGCCGUAAACGAUGAGUGCUAAGUGUUAGGGGGUUUCCGCCCCUUAGUGCUGCAGCUAACGCAUUAAGCACUCCGCCUGGGGAGUACGACCGCAAGGUUGAAACUCAAAGGAAUUGACGGGGGCCCGCACAAGCGGUGGAGCAUGUGGUUUAAUUCGAAGCAACGCGGAGAACCUUACCAAAUCUUGACAUCCUUUGACAACUCUAGAGAUAGAGCCUUCCCCUUCGGGGGACAAAGUGACAGGUGGUGCAUGGUUGUCGUCAGCUCGUGUCGUGAGAUGUUGGGUUAAGUCCCGCAACGAGCGCAACCCUUAAGCUUAGUUGCCAUCAUUAAGUUGGGCACUCUAAGUUGACUGCCGGUGACAAACCGGAGGAAGGUGGGGAUGACGUCAAAUCAUCAUGCCCCUUAUGAUUUGGGCUACACACGUGCUACAAUGGACAAUACAAAGGGCAGCGAAACCGCGAGGUCAAGCAAAUCCCAUAAAGUUGUUCUCAGUUCGGAUUGUAGUCUGCAACUCGACUACAUGAAGCUGGAAUCGCUAGUAAUCGUAGAUCAGCAUGCUACGGUGAAUACGUUCCCGGGUCU
rnacentral:rRNA from 1 species